AACGUACUCCCUCCGUCCGAAAAUACUUGUCAUCAAAAUGGACAAAAAGGGAUGUAUCUAGAACUAAAAUACAUUUAGAUACAUCCCCUUUUAUUCAAAUUGAUGACAAGUAUUUCCGAACGGAGGGAGUACCAC
rfam:Triticum aestivum genome assembly, contig: Triticum_aestivum_CS42_TGACv1_scaffold_288314_4AL